GAAUUCGCCCUUAGAGUUUGAUCCUGGCUCAGGACGAACGCUGGCGGCGUGCUUAAUACAUGCAAGUCGAACGGAGUUAAGGGUUUCGGCCUUUAACUUAGUGGCGAACGGGUGAGUAACGCGUGAAUAACCUGACUCAAAGAGGGGGAUAACAACGGGAAACUGUUGCUAAUACCGCAUGAGACCACAACACCGCAUGAUGAAGGGGUCAAAGAUUUAUCGCUUUGAGAGGGGUUCGCGUCCCAUUAGGUAGUUGGAGGGGUAACGGCCCACCAAGCCAACGAUGGGUAGCCGAGCUGAGAGGCUGAUCGGCCACACUGGAACUGAGACACGGUCCAGACUCCUACGGGAGGCAGCAGUAGGGAAUAUUGGGCAAUGGGCGCAAGCCUGACCCAGCAACACCGCGUGAGGGAAGAAGGUUUUCGGAUUGUAAACCUCUGUCCUAUGUGACGAAGGAAGUGACGGUAGCAUAGGAGGAAGCCCCGGCUAACUACGUGCCAGCAGCCGCGGUAAUACGUAGGGGGCGAGCGUUGUCCGGAAUUACUGGGCGUAAAGGGUGCGUAGGCGGUUUGGUAAGUUGGAUGUGAAAUACCCGGGCUUAACUUGGGGGCUGCAUCCAAUACUGUCGGACUUGAGUGCAGGAGAGGAGAGCGGAAUUCCUAGUGUAGCGGUGAAAUGCGUAGAUAUUCGGAGGAACACCAGUGGCGAAGGCGGCCUGCUGGGCUUUAACUGACGCUGAGGCUCGAAAGUGUGGGGAGCAAACAGGAUUAGAUACCCUGGUAGUCCACACUGUAAACGAUGAUUGCUAGGUGUGGGGGGUCUGACCCCUUCCGCGCCGGAGUUAACGCAAUAAGCAAUCCACCUGGGGAGUACGGCCGCAAGGUUGAAACUCAAAGGAAUUGACGGGGGCCCGCACAAGCAGUGGAUUAUGUGGUUUAAUUCGACGCAACGCGAAGAACCUUACCAGGUCUUGACAUCCAACGAAUCCUUAAGAGAUUAGGGAGUGCCUUUCGGGGAACGUUGAGACAGGUGGUGCAUGGUUGUCGUCAGCUCGUGUCGUGAGAUGUUGGGUUAAGUCCCGCAACGAGCGCAACCCCUGCCAUUAGUUGCUACGCAAGAGCACUCUAAUGGGACCGCUACCGACAAGGUGGAGGAAGGUGGGGACGACGUCAAAUCAUCAUGCCCCUUAUGACCUGGGCUACACACGUAAUACAAUGGCCGUUAACAACGGGAGGCAAAACCGCGAGGUAGAGCAAAACCCUAAAAACGGUCCCAGUUCGGAUCGCAGGCUGCAACCCGCCUGCGUGAAGUUGGAAUUGCUAGUAAUCGCGGAUCAGCAUGCCGCGGUGAAUACGUUCCCGGGCCUUGCACACACCGCCCGUCA
rnacentral:rRNA from 1 species